rnacentral:ncRNA from 2 species
GGACAGAACUCUGGAGAGACCCUUAAUUGGGCGCCGAAGGUGCACCGCAGAUUAUCAUCUGCUUAAACUCUCAGGCAAAAGGACAGAGACGCGAAU